CAUUAUUUUACCGUCUCAGUGCCAUUCAGUUGUAGAGGAACACGAAGAACUCGUGGAGAGAUACUGGUUUAAGGAAUUUGCCCAGAAAAGAGACACAGACUUUUACAAAUAUUUUUGUAUAGAAAAUAUGAAAGCUUGCUGUCCUAACAACACUUAUGGCCCCAAUUGUUCCCAGUGUCCUGGCGAUGUUGAUAGACCUUGUAAUGGACAGGGGUAUUGCCAGGGUGAGGGGACAAGAGAAGGAGAUGGCAAAUGUAACUGUAAUUCAGGCU
rnacentral:sRNA from 1 species